rnacentral:rRNA from 1 species
UGAACGCUAGCGACAGCGUAACACAUGCAAGUCGAGGGGCAGCAUAAAAGUAGCAAUACUUGGUGGCGACCGGCGCACGGGUGAGUAACGCGUAUACAACCUACCUAUCAGGAGGGGAAUAACCCGGCGAAAGUCGGACUAAUACCGCAUAAAACAGGGGCACCGCAUGGUGAUAUUUGUUAAAGAAAUUCGCUGAUAGAUGGGCAUGCGUUCCAUUAGGUAGUUGGUGAGGUAACGGCUCACCAAGCCGACGAUGGAUAGGGGAACUGAGAGGUUGGUCCCCCACACUGGUACUGAGACACGGACCAGACUCCUACGGGAGGCAGCAGUGAGGAAUAUUGGUCAAUGGGCGGGAGCCUGAACCAGCCAAGUCGCGUGGAAAAGGAAGAAGGAUCUAUGGUUCGUAAACUUCUUUUGCAGGGGAAUAAAGUGCAGGACGUGUCCUGUUUUGUAUGUACCCUGCGAAUAAGGAUCGGCUAACUCCGUGCCAGCAGCGGC